rnacentral:sRNA from 1 species
CGCCGCCUGCGGUGUUCGAUGCGGAUCGGGUUACCUCUCGACCCUAAUUUGUAAACCCCAGGGGCCUUUGCUUGCUGGCAACAUUGUGCAGGUCCGCCAUGGGCGGAAAGCCUUACUUGCCGCAGUGAGCCCCACCUGUUGCUCAGGUCGGGAGCAACGGUCCAACACGGCACAUGCGGGUGGCGC